UGGUCUAUGGUGUAAUGGUAACACGACAGAUUCUGGCUCUGUAAUUCAAGGUUCGAGUCCUUGUAGACCAACUU
rnacentral:tRNA from 1 species